GUAUAGAAAUAAUAUUUCUAAUGACCUUUGGUAUGUAAUAACAGUCUUUUAAUUCUAAAAUUUUGUCCGAAGGCAAAUCAAGCAUAUAGGUUCUCACAGUCUUUGCUCUAAUAGACUCUCCACUUGUGCUAUAAAGCUUGAGGUCACCUCUUUUUAGACCUUUGAUAUUCUAUGGUCGCUGUAAUAAAUUACAAAUGUACGAUCC
rnacentral:lncRNA from 1 species